UAGUAGGCCACAAAAUGACUGCAACCCGAACCCUUGUGGGAAUGGGAGGAAAAAUAACUAUUUGACUGUGACAAUUUUUCCAUUUUGAGAGCUGCGUAACCUGCAGUAACUAUAAAUGUACUGGAUCAUGACAUUAAUUCAAAAUGAAGCCGUAAGAAAUUCUGGAUAUAUACAUUGAGGGUAUGUUAGCAGCUCACAGAAACAGUGCUAAAGUGUGUCACCAUGGGGGUUAGCACUGAGGGCGGGGCUGUUCUGUGGCUGUCCUAUCGGCAUCUGAGCACAGACCACGCCCACUCCACAACUGAGCUCCACUCUAUCAGGUGGAAUUUAAAGCUUUUUCAGGACAAGACCGGGCUUCACAAACCUGAUGAAAACAUCUGAGUAAAAGGAAGUGAGUGAGCGGUAGGAUAUGUGACGGUGAGGUCAUGAGUGUAGCUUGACUCGGCAUGCUUCAAUAAGGCUUUUAAUAUCCAACAAUGUGUGCUGGUGCGCAGAGUCACUUCAACUCUAAUAGAGUUUAUAUGAGCCCAGUGCAGAAUAAAUGCAGGCCAAAUCUUAUCAGAGUUGAUUUCAAAUUCAUACUUUUGUUGAAAAAUAUAAGGUGCAAAAUGUAAGGAAUAUAUUUUAAAAGCCAGGCAUCAAAUCCUUGUUUUCACAGGUGUAUUUUUUGUAGGGAUACUGUUCAGAAGUCAGACACCACUGUUUAUUUUAUGUGCUUUCUGGUGAAAGCAGCCAUUGAGUGCAAUUUAUUUUUUUUCAGUGUCAGAAAACAGUGCGGCAAAUGCAUAUUCAACGCAAAAUUACACAAAAACCUCCACAACUACGUACAGUAUUAAAUCUUCCUGUAUUUUGUCCACCUUUCACCUUUAUUACUUCUAUUUCACUUUGGGAGAUCUGGUGGAGGCUUUUCUGUAAUUUAUUAAAUAUAUAUUUACUGCAUUAUUGUCUGACACUGAAAAAAUAUAUAUAGCAUGUAUAGUAAAUAUAUGAAUGGCUGAUUUGACUGGAAAUUAAAUUUAAAAAGGGUGGUCUGACGUUUGGACAGUACUGUAUCAUGAUAAAAGGUCUUUUUUUGGUACCAUAUUUUGUUUUGCAACAUACAAUGACCCCUUUUAUGUGCUGCCAAUAUUUUGUAACUGCGGCAUGUGACUAAACUAAUGCUGUUUUGUUAAAUGGAAAAAUGACACUAUUGUGUUGUUCCUGAAAAUUACAAAUGAUGCGUUUUGCACAACACUAAUGACAUGGGCCUGUUUUCCAAAAAAUGUUGAAUGUUGCAAGGAUGUAAAUUAACCAAAAACUGUUCACCAUUUUAUGAGUGCAAUCCCAUAUUGUCAAUUCAUUCUUGUCCGUGGAAUAAUAUCGUAGAGCUUUGUUGAAUGAAAGGCACAUGGAAAUGUUUAUGGAACCUUAGUUUGCCAUUUUAAAGAGCAUGACACUUCUUCAUA